rnacentral:rRNA from 1 species
UACGGAGGGUGCGAGCGUUAAUCGGAAUUAUUGGGCGUAAAGGGUGCGUAGGCGGGUGAAUAAGUUAUGUGUGAAAUGCCUGAGCUCAACUUAGGUUGUGCAUGUAAGACUGUUUAUCUGGAGUAUAGGAGAGGGUAGUGGAAUUUCCGGUGUAGCGGUGAAAUGCGUAGAGAUCGGAAGGAACACUGGUGGCGAAGGCGGCUACCUGGCCUAAUACUGACGCUGAGGCACGAAAGCAUGGGUAGCAAACAGG